rnacentral:lncRNA from 1 species
ACUAUCUCUGUCUGUACCCCUGACUAGAGCUGGCUCUAGAUGGGUUAUCUCAUACCUGUUAAGCCUGGGUUUUCACAUACUCAGCAAAAUAUAUACAUAAACAGAUCAUGUACACAACCAAAGAUUUACAACACAACUAUGUCAAGCACAAUUCUAACUGUAAACACAAUUAACAUAUCUCGGUAAUAUUACAUGUCCACCCUAAGCUAUUACAAGUUUCUUCUCUUAUCUCUGAACUCUUCUGACCUUCCCCUGUACACUGUACACUGAAAUCCUGCAAGACUGGGAUUAAGGGAGUGGGAUGAGCUCUAUAGCCCAGUGAGUAGAAUAACAAAAUCAGUCAUAAAAUAUGAUCUCAUGGAAUGCGUCAUAACACAGACAAGCCACAUCAAGAGUAAACCUGUCACCACAUAGCCUCAGUAACUUCCGUGCCAGGGCGUAGAAUCGAGCACCUGGUCUUCCUGUC